CCUGUUAGAACAGGUCCAGAAGAGGCCACGGAGAUGAGUAGAGGCAUGGAGCACCUCUUCUAUGAAGACAGUUCAUUUACACAACAGUCUAUGUAGCGUUAAUGUUGCCUUCUCCUCCAUCUUCUCUCCAGUCCUUUCAGAUUUUCUUGCCUGCCUAUCAAAAGUGUCAUCUUUAAUUCAGGUGCUGCUGAUAUUUAUGAAGUACCACUCACUGGGAGAGUUCUGUAGCAGAAUAAGGCACAAAUAAAACACAAUAAAAG